AUUGAACGCUGGCGGAAUGCUUUACACAUGCAAGUCGAACGGCAGCACGGACUUCGGUCUGGUGGCGAGUGGCGAACGGGUGAGUAAUGUAUCGGAACGUGCCCAGUCGUGGGGGAUAACGUAGUGAAAAUUACGCUAAUACCGCAUACGAUCUAUGGACGAAAGCGGGGGAUCGCAAGACCUCGCGCGAUUGGAGCGGCCGAUAUCAGAUUAGGUAGUUGGUGGGGGAAAGGCCCACCAAGCCAACGAUCUGUAGCUGGCAUGAGAGUACGACAAGCAACGCUGGACCGGAGACACGGUCCAGAGCACUACGGGAGGCAGUAGUGGGGAAUUUUGGACAAUGGGCGAAAGCCUGAUCCAGCCAGUCCGCGGGCAGGAUGAAGGCCCUCGGGUUGUAAACUGCUUUUGUACAGAACGAAAAGGUUUCUACUAAUACUAGGAGCUCAUGACGGUACUGUAAGAAGAAGCACCGGCUAACUACGUGCCAGCAGCCGCCGUAA
rnacentral:rRNA from 1 species